rnacentral:rRNA from 1 species
CGUGUAGGCGGUUGGUCAAGUCGGGUGUGAAAGCCCGAGGCUCAGCCUCGGAAGUGCAUCCGAAACUAGCCAGCUAGAGCGCGAUAGAGGAGGGUGGAAUUCCUGGUGUAGCGGUGAAAUGCGUAGAUAUCAGGAGGAACACCGGCGGCGAAGGCGGCCCUCUGGAUCGUUGCUGACGCUGAGACGCGAAAGCGUGGGGAGCAAACAGGAUUAGAUACCCUGGUAGUCCACGCCUUAAACGACGGGUACUAGGUGUUCGGGGUGUUGACCCCCUGAGUGCCGCAGUUAACGCAUUAAGUACCCCGCCUGGGGACUACGGCCGCAAGGUUAA